AAUGUCUUAGAUUCUUUUGGUUGAAGACGAUAUUGAGCUUUAAAUGUUGUUUUGAAUCCAUUUCAUAGGAUAUGCAACAUUUUAAUGUGAUUUUUCACCAUGGGGGUGAAUUUAUAUUGGUUAAGCAGAAUGACAUCAUUUAUAGAGGGGGUGUUGACAUGCAUGUUUCUAGGCAACACAUAGGCAAAUGGAUAAUAUGAAGCAUUCGUAAGUUGGUG
rnacentral:lncRNA from 1 species